rnacentral:rRNA from 1 species
GACGAACGCUGGCGGCGCGCCUAACACAUGCAAGUCGAACGGAGUUUCCCCUUCGGGGGGAGCUUAGUGGCGGACGGGUGAGUAACACGUGAGGAACCUGCCUUUGAGAGCGGGAUACCGUCUGGAAACGGACGUUAAUACCGCAUAAUGCAGCGAGGCCACAUGGCCAUGCUGCCAAAGAUUUAUCGCUCAAAGAUGGCCUCGCGCCUGAUUAGAUAGUUGGCGGGGUAACGGCCCACCAAGUCUGCGAUCAGUAGCCGGACUGAGAGGUCGAACGGCCACAUUGGGACUGAGAUACGGCCCAGACUCCUACGGGAGGCAGCAGUGGGGGAUAUUGCACAAUGGGCGAAAGCCUGAUGCAGCAACGCCGCGUGAGGGAAGACGGUCUUCGGAUUGUAAACCUUUUAACUUUUGGAGAAGAAAGAAAUAGACGGUAUCCAAAGGGGCAGCCACGGCUAACUACGUG